rnacentral:rRNA from 1 species
UACGUAGGGGGCAAGCGUUGUCCGGAUUUAUUGGGCGUAAAGAGCGUGUAGGCGGUUUGGUAGGUCCGCUGUGAAAACUCGAGGCUCAACCUCGAGACGCCGGUGGAAACCAUCAGGCUAGAGUCCGGAAGAGGAGAGUGGAAUUCCUGGUGUAGCGGUGAAAUGCGCAGAUAUCAGGAAGAACACCCGUGGCUAAGGCGGCUCUCUAGUACGGUACUGACGCUGAUACGCGAAAGCGUGGGGAGCAAACAGG